rnacentral:rRNA from 1 species
GCUAAGAAUCUUCCACAAUGGACGGAAGUCUGAUGGAGCGACGCCGCGUGGACGAUGAAGGCCGUGAGGUUGUAAAGUCCUUUUCGGGAGGGGAAUAACCCGGGGAGGGAAUGCCCCGGGGAUGACGUGAAUCCCGGAAUAAGCCCCGGCUAACUACGUGCCAGCAGCCGCGGUAAUACGUAGGGGGCGAGCGUUGUUCGGAAUCAUUGGGCGUAAAGGGUGCGCAGGUGGCCCGACAAGUCUGGCGUUAAAGUGCGGGGCUCAACUCCGUGAUGCGCUGGAAACUGUCUGGCUUGAGUACAGCAGGGGGCGUCGGAAUUCCAGGUGUAGGGGUGAAAUCUGUAGAUAUCUGGAAGAACACCGGUGGCGAAGGCGGACGCCUGGGCAUGUACUGACACUGAGGCACGAAGGUGCGGGGAGCAAACAGGUUUAGAUACCCGAGUAGUCC